UACGUAGGCAGCGAGCGUUGUUCGGAAUUACUGGGCGUAAAGCGUGCGCAGGCGGUGAUGUAAGACAGAUGUGAAAUCCCCGGGCUCAACCUGGGACCUGCAUUUGUGACUGCAUCGCUGGAGUGCGGCAGAGGGGGAUGGAAUUCCGCGUGUAGCAGUGAAAUGCGUAGAUAUGCGGAGGAACACCGAUGGCGAAGGCAAUCCCCUGGGCCUGCACUGACGCUCAUGCACGAAAGCGUGGGGAGCAAACAGG
rnacentral:rRNA from 1 species